CGCUGGAUUAGCAUGCAGUCGAGCGCUCAUCAGCAAUGGUGGGAGCGGCGAACGGCGUAGUAAGACGUAGGAACGUACCCUCGGGACGGGGAUAGCUACGGGAAACUGUAGGUAAUACCCGAUAAUCUCUGCGGAGCAAAGGUGUGAUUCCGCCUGGGGAGCGGCUUACGCGAUAUUAGCUAGUUGGUGGGGUAAUGGCCUACCAAGGCGAUGAUGUCUAGGGGGUGUGAGAGCAUGGCCCCCACGACCGGAACUGAGAUACUGUCCGGACACCUACGGGUGGCUGCAGUCGAGAAUCUUCCGCAAUGGACGAAAGUCUGACGGAGCGACGCCGCGUGCGGGAUGAAGGCCCUUGGGUUGUAAACCGCUGUCAGAGGGGAUGAAAUCUUCGGAGGUACUCCUCCGAGGUUGACAGAGCCUCAAAGGAAGCACGGGCUAAGUACGUGCCAGCAGCCGCGGUAACACGUACUGUGCGAACGUUAUUCGGAAUCACUGGGCUUAAAGGGUGCGUAGGCGGCGAUUCAAGUCAGAUGUGAAAUGCCUGAGCUCAACUGAGGCAUUGCGUUUGAAACUGAAUUGCUAGAGUAUCCUAGGGGUGUGCGGAACUGCCAGUGGAACGGUGAAAUGUGUUGAUAUUGGCAGGAACGCCGGAGGCGAAAGCGGCACACUGGGGGAUAACUGACGCUGAGGCACGAAAGCCAAGGGAGCGAACGGGAUUAGAUACCCCGGUAGUCUUGGCCGUAAACGAUGAGUACUG
rnacentral:rRNA from 1 species